GUGCGAGGGCAUACAGUCCUCGCUUUUCUGUACCGUAAGGUGGUACAGGAACAAGAACUGGGCAAGACCGGUGCCAGCCGCCGCGGUAAUACCGGCAGUUCGAGUGAUGGCCGCUCUUAUUGGGCCUAAAGCGUUCGUAGCCGGCCACGCAAGUUCGUCGGGAAAUCUGCCCGCUUAACGGGCAGGCGUCCGGCGAAAACUGCGUGGCUUGGGACCGGGAGACUCGAGGAGUACGUUCGGGGUAGGAGUGAAAUCCCAUAAUCCUGAACGGACUACCGAUGGCGAAAGCACCUCGAGAGCACGGAUCCGACGGUGAGGAACGAAAGCUGGGGUCUCGAACCGGAUUAGAUACCCGGGUAGUCCCAGCUGUUAACGAUGCUCGCUAGGUAUGGCACAGGCCACGAGCCUGUGCUGUGCCGAAGUGAAGACGCAAGCGAGCCGCCUGGGAAGUACGUCUGCAAGGAUGAAACUUAAAGGAAUUGGCGGGGGAGCACUACAACCGGAGGAGCCUGCGGUUUAAUUGGACUCAACGCCGGACAUCUCACCAGCACCGACAAUGUGCAGUGAAGAUCAGGUUGAUGACCUUAUUGGAGCCAUUGAGAGGAGGUGCAUGGCCGCCGUCAGCUCGUACCGUGAGGCAUCCUGUUAAGUCAGGCAACGAGCGAGACCCGUGUUCCUAAUUGCCAGCAGCAACCAUGCGUUGGCUGGGUACAUUAGGAAGACCGCCACGGCUAACGUGGAGGAAGGAACGGGCAACGGUAGGUCAGCAUGCCCCGAAUGUGCUGGGCAACACGCGGGCUACAAUGGCCGAGACAAAGGGUUGCUACCCCGAGAGGGGACGCUAAUCUCCGAAACUCGGUCGUAGUUCGGAUUGCGGGCUGAAACCCGCCCGCAUGAAGCUGGAUUCGGUAGUAGUCGCGUGUCAUUAGCGCGCGGCGAAUACGUCCCUGCUCCUUGCACACACCGCCCGUCAAAGCACCCGAGUGAGGUCCGGAUGAGGCCACCAUGCGGUGGUCGAAUCUGGGCUUCGCAAGGGGGCUUAAGUCGUAACAAGGUAGGCCUAGGGGAAUCUGGGCCUGGAUCACCUCCUA
rnacentral:rRNA from 1 species